rnacentral:rRNA from 1 species
UACGUAGGUUGCGAGCGUUGUCCGGAUUUACUGGGCGUAAAGCGCGCGCAGGUGGUCCUGAAAGUCGAGCGUGAAAGCUCCCGGCCCAACUGGGAGAGGCCGUUCGAAACUUCAGGACUUGAAGGCGGAAGAGGCAAAUGGAAUUUCCGGUGUAGCGGUAAAAUGCGUAGAUACCGGAAGGAACACCAGUGGCGAAAGCGAUUUGCUGGCCCGCCCUUGACACUCAGGCGCGAAAGCUAGGGGAGCGACCGGG